UACGUAGGUGGCAAGCGUUGUCCGGAAUUAUUGGGCGUAAAGGGCGCGUAGGCGGUGCGGCAAGUCACCUGUGAAACCUCUGGGCUUAACCCAGAGCCUGCAGGCGAAACUGCCGUGCUGGAGUGUGGGAGAGGUGCGUGGAAUUCCGGAUGUAGCGGUGAAAUGCGUAGAUAUCGGGAGGAACACCUGUGGCGAAAGCGGCGCACUGGACCACAACUGACGCUGAGGCGCGAAAGCUAGGGGAGCAAACAGG
rnacentral:rRNA from 1 species